GACGUAGGGCGCAAGCGUUGUCCGGAUUUAUUGGGCGUAAAGAGCUCGUAGGCGGCUUGUUGCGUCGGCUGUGAAAACCCGCGGCUUAACCGCGGGCUUGCAGCCGAUACGGGCAGGCUAGAGUUCGGUAGAGGGCGGCGGAAUUCCCGGUGUAGCGGUGAAAUGCGUAGAUAUCGGGAGGAACAUCAAUGGCGAAGGCAGCCGCCUGGGCCUGGACUGACACUGAGGCACGAAAGCGUGGGUAGCAAACAGG
rnacentral:rRNA from 1 species